rnacentral:rRNA from 1 species
AUUGAACGCCGGCGGCAGGCUUAACACAUGCAAGUCGAGCGGGGUGAUGGUGCUUGCACUAUCACUUAGCGGCGGACGGGUGAGUAAUGCUUAGGAAUCUGCCUAUUAGUGGGGGACAACAUCUCGAAAGGGAUGCUAAUACCGCAUACGUCCUACGGGAGAAAGCAGGGGAUCACUUGUGACCUUGCGCUAAUAGAUGAGCCUAAGUCGGAUUAGCUAGUUGGUGGGGUAAAGGCCUACCAAGGCGACGAUCUGUAGCGGGUCUGAGAGGAUGAUCCGACACGCUGGGACUGGGACACGGCCCAGACUCCUACGGGAGGCAGCAGUGGGGAAUAUUGGACAAUGGGGGGAACCCUGAUCCAGCCAUGCCGCGUGUGUGAAUAAGGCCUUAUGGUUGUAAAGCACUUUAAGCGAGGAGGAGGCUCUUUUGGUUAAUACCCAAGAUGAGUGGACGUUACUCGCAGAAUAAGCACCGGCUAACUCUGUGCCAGCCGCCGCGGUAA